CACGUAGGCGGAUACUUAAGUCAGGGGUGAAAUCCCAGAGCUCAACUCUGGAACUGCCUUUGAUACUGGGUAUCUUGAGUAUGGAAGAGGUAAGUGGAAUUCCGAGUGUAGAGGUGAAAUUCGUAGAUAUUCGGAGGAACACCAGUGGCGAAGGCGGCUUACUGGUCCAUUACUGACGCUGAGGUGCGAAAGCGUGGGGAGCAAACA
rnacentral:rRNA from 1 species